ACGGGUGAGUAACACGUGGGCAAUCUGCCCUGCACUCUGGGACAAGCCCUGGAAACGGGGUCUAAUACCGGAUAACACUCUCCACCGCAUGGUGGGGGGUUGAAAGCUCCGGCGGUGCAGGAUGAGCCCGCGGCCUAUCAGCUUGUUGGUGAGGUAGUGGCUCACCAAGGCGACGACGGGUAGCCGGCCUGAGAGGGCGACCGGCCACACUGGGACUGAGACACGGCCCAGACUCCUACGGGAGGCAGCAGUGGGGAAUAUUGCACAAUGGGCGAAAGCCUGAUGCAGCGACGCCGCGUGAGGGAUGACGGCCUUCGGGUUGUAAACCUCUUUCAGCAGGGAAGAAGCGAAAGUGACGGUACCUGCAGAAGAAGCGCCGGCUAACUACGUGCCAGCAGCCGCGGUAAUACGUAGGGCGCAAGCGUUGUCCGGAAUUAUUGGGCGUAAAGAGCUCGUAGGCGGCUUGUCACGUCGGUUGUGAAAGCCCGGGGCUUAACCCCGGGUCUGCAGUCGAUACGGGCAGGCUAGAGUUCGGUAGGGGAGAUCGGAAUUCCUGGUGUAGCGGUGAAAUGCGCAGAUAUCAGGAGGAACACCGGUGGCGAAGGCGGACCUCUGGGCCGAUACUGACGCUGAGGAGCGAAAGCGUGGGGAGCGAACAGGAUUAGAUACCCUGGUAGUCCACGCCGUAAACGGUGGGCACUAGGUGUGGGCAACAUUCCACGUUGUCCGUGCCGCAGCUAACGCAUUAAGUGCCCCGCCU
rnacentral:rRNA from 1 species